CACGAAACCAGGCGAGCUACUGUCAGCGUAUUAUAGUACAAAGUAUGUAGCAUAAUAGUAGUAGACCUUGCAGUAGGAGUGAGAGACUUUCAAGUCUGGUGAUAUCUUGUUAACUUCGAGAUGUAUUUAGUACAGUGCCAGUUUAUUAGUGAUAAGGCUGAUAAAAAAUAUGUAACUCGGUUACCUAUACUGACAUAGUUUAAUCGCUGGUUUUCUUUUAAAUUCAAUAUUAUUGUCCGUUAGUAGUAGAAAUUAGAAGUUAGUACUUAAUCAUAACAGAUACUUAUACUGUAAGUAUUAGUAGUUAAGGUAUUACUGAUGAAUUCGGCAACAUUUCUUUCACCUGUUUAUCAAAAACAUGGCCAAUAGGAAGUAUUACUGGUCGAUUCUGCUCCAUGUAAUAAUAAAUAGCCGCAGUACCCUGACUGUGCAAAGGUAGCAUAAUCACUUGGCUUAUAAUUGAAGUCUGGCAUGAAAGAACGCAUGGGGGAAAGCUCUAUUGGUGGUAUGGCGUGAAAUUACUUAGUAGGUGCAAAUACCUAUUGUUAAAUAAAAGACGAGAAGACCCUAGAAAUUUUGACAAUUAUGAUAAUUUAUGUUUUUGUUGGGGCAACAUGGUAGCAUUCAACCUACAUUAAUGACAUGACAUAAUAUAGUUAGAUUAAAUUACUCUAGGGAUAACAGCGUAAUUUUACAAAGUUUGCGACCUCGAUGUUGGACUAGGAAGCAGAUACUUAGAA
rnacentral:rRNA from 1 species